GAUGAAGAACGCAGCGAAAUGCGAUAAGUAAUGUGAAUUGCAGAAUUCAGUGAAUCAUCGAAUCUUUGAACGCACAUUGCGCCCGCCAGUAUUCUGGCGGGCAUGCCUGUUCGAGCGUCAUUUCAACCAUCAAGCCCCAGGCUUGUGUUGGGGACCUGCGGCUGCCGCAGGCCCUUAAAACCAGUGGCGGGCUCGCUGUCACACCGGGCGUAGUAGAUUUUAUCUCGCUCAGGGCGUGCUGCGGGUUCCGGCCGUUAAAAAGCCUUUUUUACCCAAGGUUGACCUCGGAUCAGGUAGGAAGACCCGCUGAACUUAAGCAUAUCAAUAAGCGGAGGA
rnacentral:misc_RNA from 1 species